ACGAUACCGUGUUCGGUCCUCGAGCUGUAGUUGACAGUCCAUUAACUAGUUUUUAAUUAUAAAUUUCUAACUAUAAAAAUCAAUCGACCAGUGUAGAAAUGUAUUGUUGGCUAUCGAUGUUUUGUAUUUUGAUAUGUUUUCAUAUAUUUUUCCUCGAAACCCUCGAUACAAAAUUUUAAUCCGAAAACGCUCUGAAUUUUCCAUCUUGUUCCUACAAAAAUAAACAAACGACGUGCGAUGACAUUGGUUUUAUUUUCGGAUGUCUAGGUUACAUUGGCAGUUUGACCGCAAUGGAAAAAAACACAAAUAAUAGAUACUGAAUAAUUUUACCAGU